rnacentral:misc_RNA from 1 species
CCGAGUUUACAACUCCCAAACCCCUGUGAACAUACCACUUGUUGCCUCGGCGGAUCAGCCCGCUCCCGGUAAAACGGGACGGCCCGCCAGGGGACCCCUAAACUCUGUUUCUAUAUGUAACUUCUGAGUAAAACCAUAAAUAAAUCA